rnacentral:tRNA from 1 species
CCGCUCAUGGUCUAGCAGGAUUAUGACGUCCGACUGUAAAUCGGAAGGUGGCUGGUUCGAUUCCAGUUGAGCGGA